GCCUCACAUUUUAGGCAGCUGCUCUACACUGAGCCCCAGCCCCAGGCCCAAUUUAAAGGAAGAUGUGCAACAAGUUGGUUGCUAGUCCACCCAAGAGUUUUUUUCCUGUAGUAAAAGCAGCCAGUAACAGCCAGAUACUGUGGUGGACAUUCAGCACCAUGUGAUUGGAAAAUGGCAACGGAGGAAAAGCAAGGAGCUGCAGGAAAGCAAGUGGCCCCUCAGUGCGCCUUCUGCAGCCGCUGAGUAGCCCCCUCAGCUCUCCAUGGUGACACAUCAGUCAUCUGUCUUCAGAGCACACCUCAGAGGGGUCUGCCUCCGAGGAUUUGCAGGUUGGAAGGCACCGUGCAGCCAGUGUCUGCACCCCUGUUGGUGUCUCUGCUGAGCCUCCUGCUCAAUCCUUUCCUGCAGGAUUCUCUCCAGGAGCCCCGAGUUCCACCCUGUGGGGUGUUAUGAGCCACAGCUUCCACUCCAGCUUGAGGCAAACAACAGACCUUGGUGCCCUUCAUCACAGGCUUCCAUUAGUGCUGAGAAGUCUGUUGAAAGUGGGUCCCCAACCAGGUGAGCCCCUCAGAGUGGGCACGCUGCCUGAAGGUUAGAGCCAGAGCAGGGUCUCCAACUGCUCCUCCUUUGGCAACUCCUGCAAACCAAAACCUUGAGCCCCACAGAGCCCACCCAAUCCCACUGCCCUGUGAUUGCAUCAAGUGACUGGUCUUAAGCUGAAAGUAAGGACUCUUGUGUAAACUACUGAAUGAAUCCAGACCACUUUUUUUUUUCCCCCGAAGUUCAUAUGAUUCCAUGGUGAAUUUCUUUGCUAUGAAAUCCAGAGUUUUCUUCUUUCAGAAUGGUUUAUCUUGGGUUUCAAAAAGACAUGUUAUGAAACCCUCCAUGUAGAAUGAAAUAUCUGUUACGCUCCCGAAGCUUCUCAAGAGCAGGUUGGUGUGAGACCCACAUGCCUGGCAGAGAUGCCACCCGCACCAGGAGCCCGCUCUGCGCCCAGGCGUUACAGACUGCGGUGUUGCUGUUGCAAAGUUCAGGAAGUCCCACCCUCCCUCAGGCUCAAGAACUCCCAGCAGGGCUCACCAAGGUUGACAGAAGGUAGAGCCGUGAACGUCUGUCUUCAGUUCUCACCACCACAGAAAACUGACCCCUCCCCACGUCCAGACAUAGAACGAACAGGUGACAUGGACCAGAACCUAAGUGGCCAGGCACAUCCUACAGCUACAGACGAAACUCAAAACAGAUAACACUGCUCGCCAAAUCCACCUGCAGCAUUUAUGAAAACUGGUCAUAUACCAGGCCACAAAAAUCCAAAAUUCCAGAACAAUACAGCAGCACUCUGACUGCAGUAAAACUGAAAGUUAAGAGGGAAAAAAAAAGCAGCACAAACAGACCAAGAUAGACUGCUGAAGAAUACUGGAGAUAGAUAGGAAGAGGUUGAGGAACUGUUCCAGACCAAAGGAGGUGGCUGUGACAUGACAACUCACUGCAAUGCCAUUCUUGGAGAGAACUGGACCAGAAAGGAAGAGACCAGCAAAAGUGGGUGAGGUUGGGCUGGGGCUGGGGCUCAGUGGUAGAGCGCUCACCUCGCAUGUACGAAGCACUGGGUUCGAU